UACGUAGGGCGCAAGCGUUGUCCGGAAUUAUUGGGCGUAAAGAGCUCGUAGGCGGUUCGUCGCGUCUGCCGUGAAAACCCGAGGCUUAACCUCGGGCCUGCGGUGGAUACGGGCGGACUAGAGGUAGGUAGGGGAGAAUGGAAUUCCUGGUGUAGCGGUGGAAUGCGCAGAUAUCAGGAGGAACACCGGUGGCGAAGGCGGGUCUCUGGGCCAUUACUGACGCUGAGGAGCGAAAGCGUGGGGAGCGAACAGG
rnacentral:rRNA from 1 species